GCACAUGCCUUUUUAAUUUUAGCACUUGGGAGGUAGAGGCAGGCACAUCUCUGGGUUCAAGACCAGCCUGGUCUACAUAGUAAAUUCCAGAACAGCAGGGCUAUACAGAGAAACCUGUCUCAAAAAAAAAAAAAGAAAAAGAAAAAAGAAACAGUUAAAAUCUUUAUUUAAAAAAAUAUUUUAAAACAGUGUUGGGAGACUGAAGAGAUGGCUGAGCAAUUAAGAGUGCUUGCUGUUUCCAGAGUACCCAAGUUUGGUCUUUAGCACCUCUGUAGAUGGCUCCUAACUAUCUGUACCUCCAGCCCCAGAGGAUCUGGGUCUGUCCUCUCUCCUGGGCUCUAUGGACACCUGCACACACACACACACACACACACACACACACUCUCACACACCAUCAUAUCUUCUCACAGACACAUGCAGAUAUACAUAAAUAAAAAUCAAUAUGAAGAAAACAUAACUAAGGAUGAAUGUGGUGGCUUGGUGGAUAACCGUACUUGCCACACGAGCCUGAGGACCUGAGUUUGAACCCUGGAACCCAUAGCAAAAUUCAGGAGCGUGUGCCUGUCAUCCUAACAGUCCCACAGCUAAGUGGGAUGUGAACAGGCCCAAAGCGUCCAUGAGAAGCAUAGUCGCAGAAACAAGAGGGAGACCUUGCCUCAAAACCAGCUGGAAGGAGAGUACUGACUCUGAAAGUUACCCUCUGGCUUCCACACAUGUAGCAUGGCUUGUGUAUGUGCACACACAUGCACACACACAAAACUAACCAAUCUACUUGUCCAUCCUUGCAAAGCAAAGUAGCUGGACUGGGCAGCUGCUUAGUCGAGAUUUUGUCCAGUGUGUAUGAAGCCCUGAGUCCAGGACAGUGCACUGCAGCCCUGUAAUCCUGCACUGUGAAGCAGGGGAGCUGCUAUUUGAAAGCUAUCCUCCACUACAUAUCAAGUUUUGGGUUAGUCUAGGAUACAUGAGACCCUGUCUCCAAAUAAAUAAAUAAAAUAAAAUGAUGGCUCAUGAUGAGGACCUGAGUCGACCUUAGUACCUUAUAAAAAGCUGAGCAAGGUAGUUUGUGCUAUAAUCCCAAUACUGAGGGGGAGGCAGGAGGAAGCCAGGGCCUUGCUGGCUAGCCAGUCUAACUGCAUCGGUGAGCUCCAGAUUCACUGAGAAAUUGUCUGAACAAACAUAGGAAAGUGGUAGAAGAUAACACCAGUGUAGACCUCUGACCUCCACAUAAACACACAUAAUAAAUUUGAAAUUUUUAGAAAGAGAAAUGUGGGGCUUGAGAAGUCUCAGCAGUUAAGAGCAUACUGCUCCUACAGAGGCCCUGAAUUCCAUUCUCAUCAGGUGACUCCCACUAAAUUAAAAAGCUCCAGCAGCACCCAUGCUCUCCUCUGGCCUCCGGGGACCUUUACACAUGCUCAUUGCACACAUGCAAUCAUCAACUUAGAAAAGACAGAGGAGGAAAAUGUAAAAGGCAGUGAGAACAACUCUAAAGAGACUCACUCAGUCUGUCCUGCACGAGGAGUCUAGGGGACUGCACUUCAAUACUGAUUUGUAGUCUGUCUCCUGUCCAGUAGCCUCAAAUAUCAAGAAAUAUAUUUCAAGGGUUUGGGAAGCCGAUUUCCUCGGAGCAUUUGUGUAUGAAACCAAGGCGGGAGCGUCUUCUCUACUUUACAGCUUUGAAGAUUAGGUUGGGGUGCAGCUUAUGGUGAACACUGCCUAACAAAUACGGAGCCCUGCACUCUAUCCCCAGCCCUUCAGACAGUCUUUAAAAAUAUUUUUUUUAGAUAUUCAAGCUAGGUAUGGUGACACAUGAUUUUAAAUCCUAGCUCUCAGAAGGCAGAGUUAUGGAGAGCUCUGUAAGCUGGAGGCUAGCCUGGUCACAAGUUCCAGGACAGCCAGGUUUCAUACAGAGACCCUGUCUUCAAAAAUUAAUUAAGAUCUGACUGGAAACGGUGGUAAACACCUUUAAUCUCAGCACCCAGGAAGCAGAUGCAGGUGAAUCUCUGUGAGUUCAAGGCCAGCCUGGCCUACAUAGUGAGUUCCAAGACAGCCAGAGCUACAGAGUGAGACUCUGUCUGGGAAAAAACAAAGCAACAGUGUUACUAGUUAAGAGCACAUCAUUUAACUCAGCCUGGUGGCAUAACAUAGGUAAUAAUCUCAGUGGCCUGCCUGGCUGAGGCAGGAGGAUGUAAGAAGUACAGAAUCAGCCUGGCCUGCAGAAUGACCCCUGAGGCCAACCUGCAUAACUGAAGGGGACAGUCUCAGAGUAAAAAGGAAGGAAAGCCAAGUGUGGGUCAUGUCUCUAGUCCUAGCACUCAGCAGGCAGAGGGAUGGUUCAGGAGUGCAGGCCAGCCUGAGCUACAUAAUGAAUUCAAAACCAGCUCGAGCUGAUGGAGUCUGUGUCUCUUUCUUUUAAAAAAUACU
rnacentral:lncRNA from 1 species